CAGUCGCCACGGGAAAACGAAGGGUGCAAGCGUUAAUCGGAAUUACUGGGCGUAAAGCGCGCGUAGGCGGUUACUCAAGUCAGAGGUGAAAGCCCGGGGCUCAACCCCGGAACUGCCUUUGAAACUAGGUGACUAGAAUCUUGGAGAGGUCAGUGGAAUUCCGAGUGUAGAGGUGAAAUUCGUAGAUAUUCGGAAGAACACCAGUGGCGAAGGCGGCUCACUGGACGACUGUUGACGCUGAGGUGCGAAAGCGUGGGGAGCAAACAGGAUUAGAUACCCCUGUAGUCCCUGUCUCUUAUAC
rnacentral:rRNA from 1 species